UUUUCUUAACAAAAAUAAUCUAUAAGUAUAAUAUAUUUAAAAAUAUGUUUUAUUUUAAACCUAGAUAUUACUUCAAAACUAUCAAUUAAUAAUUGAUACACUUUAUAUAGUCAGUGUUAGAAUUAUAAUCAAUUAAAAGGUAUUUAUUCCAAAAAAUAAGUUUGAUUAUAGCAUAAAAAAGAUAGGGGCAAUUUUCAAAUUGACCUACAUUUCAAAUUUUUGAAUGGGGGCAAUUUUGAAAAAUAAUUUAAACACUAUACUUUGAGUGUAUAUUUUAGAAACUUGAGAUGAGGGGGGGGGGGGGGGAAUUUUUGAAAAAUAAUUUAAA